CAGCAGCGAAGACUAGCAUGGCCCUUGAGCAAGGAUGACAUGCAAAUUCAUGAAGCAUUCCAUAUUUGG
ensembl:snRNA U6 U6 spliceosomal RNA